AAAGGAAACCACCUGUGAAAUCAGUCUUGAUGAUUUUACCUGACUGGAUCUGUGCUCCCUUCAUGCAGUUCUGAGCACCAGCUCUCCCUCAGGUUGUUGCCUGACAUGUAAGAGCCAAAGUGACUAAAGAGGCAUGUGUGAGGCUGCCCCUCAGCAUCUGGCACCUCAACCUGAGUGUUCCCAGCUCUCCUGCCAUAAACCCACUGGUGCAGACUGGAGCGCACUGGAUUGGAGCAGAACAACUGCCAUCACGGGAUGGAGCUGGCUGUGGACACUGCUGUGCAAGACCUGAUGGCCUUCCUGAAGUACAAACUACUGAACACUUGACAGUCCAUGCUCUCCUCCCAGGCAAGGAUAUUUCCUAUGAACAUACACCAAAGGAAGGGGGGAGUACAGCAGCUGGGUAAGCAACCUGCCGUGAGGAGACCGCACGCUCGCCACCCUUGUUCUUGAAAAAUAACCUUGAGUUGCCAGUAGCUGGUGGAUUGAGGCAGGAAUACUCUCUGGUGUUUGUCUCAAGAGUAAACCAAAAGUCAUGGAAACUUACUGAAGAAGGCUCAGCUUUCACGUUUUCCAUCCGUUCUUGAGUGCAUGGAAAUCCUUGUCCCACUUUCACUGGCGACCACUCACCAGGGUGUGCUGGAACCCCCGGCUGAGCCUCAGCCUGAUGAGAGACCUCAGAACAACCUUAAUCCUCCUUGCUCGUUCAGAAAUACGACAGGAGAGUUUGCACUGCCACCGAGCACUUCUCUCUGAUUCAGAGGGUGAGUUUGGAGGCAGGACUCCAACAUGUUGCAGUCACACAGCGCCUGGGAGCCUGUGCAGCCCCAACCAAGCUCAGCAUCGACUGUGACUGGGCUUGGGCUUGGCCAAGCACUGCAGAGGAGUGAAGCAAUACUGUACGGUGCGGUGCUGCAGAGACCUGCUGAGGCUGGGUGGUGUGAAGAAGGAAACUGUUUGCUCCCAUGGACCUGCAGCAGCCUGCCAUGUCUAGAUGCUUGCUUAAAAGGUCCCCAGAAAAACACUCACCCUGCUCACAGCCCUGGUGUUCAUCCAUAAGGGGUUUGGUGGUGCUGGGGAGUCCACAGACACUCUGGAGAUGAGGACAUCUCACAUG